rnacentral:rRNA from 1 species
UACGUAGGGGGCAAGCGUUGUCCGGAAUCAUUGGGCGUAAAGAGCGUGUAGGCGGCCCGAUAAGUCCGCCGUGAAAGUCCAGGGCUCAACCCUGGAAUGCCGGUGGAAACUGGCGGGCUGGAGUCCGGAAGAGGCGAGUGGAAUUCCUGGUGUAGCGGUGAAAUGCGCAGAUAUCAGGAGGAACACCAAUGGCGAAGGCAGCUCGCUGGGACGGUACUGACGCUGAGACGCGAAAGCGUGGGGAGCAAACAGG